AAGAUCCCAGGUCUCCUGACUCCCAGGCCCGUGCUCUCUCCACUAGGCUGCAUUGCUCGCCUUCACCAGGGACCUUAACCAAACUGACCUCUCUAUCUCUCUCCCAGGAAAGUUGCCACCAGAUAUGGAGAUGGGGCUUAGCAAUCAAAGCACAUCACCCAAAGCCGUCCACGCCUGGAUGGGAUCCAGUGUAUCUAGCGAGCUGCGAGUGAACUGCAAGCCAGAGCUGCGUAAAUUCCAAAGUGCUGAGGAUGCAUAUAAGAUACGGCCUAAGAGCUAGAAAGGCCUGAUGGCUUUAAAUGACUCACCGUCUGUCAGUUUUUUGCUUUAUUCCCUGCUUUAGGGGGCAGAAAGCCAUCGUCUUCCGGAUCCUCUGGUGGCCUGGUCAAGGAAAAACAAGAAAUAACUGAAAAUCGAGAUGGAAUAAUGAAGGAAAACACUCUUUCCAGUGAGAGGGGGCCAUCCUGUUUGCUGACUGCACGGUUCUGGGCCUGCGAAAGUCAACGUGGGAAGAAAGUCCCGGUCGCCUACGUAAUUUCUGCACAGGCACUCAUUUCGUCUCAACCAGCAUGAUUUGAGCUAUAAUUCUGAGGCUGCGGGCCUAAUGUCAUGCAAGAGAUCGGGGGCAUUUUGAAGGUAGUAGAAAAACACGCCGAGUCCUCGUAGCAUGACAUGAGAUCUGCCACCCUACUUGAACCACCUCGACUGAACGAAGGAAAAUAAAAUGAAUUUACGGGAUAAUAAAAUAAAGCCCAUCGUGCUGCUAAAGAAGGCUCCUUUUCUCUUCGGCUUUGGCUCCUUCAGACCUCGGCAGACAGUAAUUAAUGACCGUUCAGGCCGCUGACAAUACGCAGAGCUAUAGAAGCGCUAACCACCAAGAACACCAUUCAUCCCGCUUCUUUUGGAAACGGAGCCCGGCCGUUACACUGAGGUACAUUUUCAAUGCGACUCAUAAAUCUUCAGUCUCCGGACUCCCACCGAAAUGACAAUUUAGCCCAUAAUGCUCUCUGAACCAUUUUUCACGUGCUGUUUCGGCCCACUCUCAAUUAUCUGUGGGGUGGGGUGUGUCGGGGGGUGACCCAGAGUGUGCAGAUAAUAGAAAUCUAAAAGGAAUAGCUCCCAGAUGGCUCGGUCCUUUCAACCACCUCCCCGACUAGGAUUCACUUUUCCAGAGUGACCGAAAGGCAGCAGAAUCGGAGACACGCUGGCCUUAGUUUCGCCUUCUUUGCCGUCCAGGCCCCCGGUUGCGUAGUAAGUGGCCGAAAGGCAUUCAAUCAAUCGCUGGGAUUUCUCGAGUACUUUCGGGGUGCAGAGUACUGGACUAAGCGCUUAGGGGAGUACAGCAGAGUGAAAAGGAAGAGAAGCAGAAGCCCAGCUAACCCACAGAUCGGAUAAUUCAUUCCCAGGAUGGUUGCAUGAGGCUCUUCCUGGUUCUGACCUCAGCGUUUAGCUUGCGGUUACUAAGAACUUGGCAACUCUUAAGGGCAGACCAACUGUCCUUUAUUUUCCGGUGUCUCUUUUUUCUCUUCUCUUCUUUGUGCUAAAGACGAAUAUCCUGAAAUAAAUGUGCUAUGAGGGA